rnacentral:rRNA from 1 species
UUGCUUCCGCCGACGACCGGCGCACGGGUGCGUAACGCGUAUACAAUCUACCUUAUACUGGGGUAUAGCCUUUAGAAAUGAAGAUUAACCCCCCAUAGUCUCUUAGAGUGGCAUCACUUCUAGAGUAAAGGUUACGGUAUAAGAUGAGUAUGCGUUCUAUUAGUUUGUUGGUGUGGUAACGGCACACCAAGACUACGAUAGAUAGGGGCCCUGAGAGGGGGAUCCCCCACACUGGUACUGAGACACGGACCAGACUCCUACGGGAGGCAGCAGUGAGGAAUAUUGGACAAUGGAGGCAACUCUGAUCCAGCCAUGCCGCGUGCAGGAAGACUGCCCUAUGGGUUGUAAACUGCUUUUAUACAGGAAGAAACACCUCUACGUGUAGAGGCUUGACGGUACUGUAAGAAUAAGGAUCGGCUAACUCCGUGCCAGCAGCCGCGGUAAUACGGAGGAUCCAAGCGUUAUCCGGAAUCAUUGGGUUUAAAGGGUCCGUAGGUG